UACGUAGGGGGCAAGCGUUGUCCGGAAUCAUUGGGCGUAAAGCGCGUGUAGGCGGCUCGAUAAGUCUGCUGUGAAAGUUCAGGGCUCAACCCUGAAAUGCCGGUGGAAACUGUCGGGCUAGAGUCCGGAAGGGGCGAGUGGAAUUCCUGGUGUAGCGGUGAAAUGCGCAGAUAUCGGGAAGAACACCCGUGGCGAAGGCGGCUCUCUGGGACGGUACUGACGCUGAGACGCGAAAGCGUGGGGAGCGAACAGG
rnacentral:rRNA from 1 species